GGCGCAGCUGAUCAUCCAUGCCGCGUGUGUGAAGAAGGCCUUCGGGUUGUAAAGCACUUUCGGCCGGGACGAAAUCGCUCGGGAUAACACCCAAGGUGGAUGACGGUACCGGAAGAAGAAGCACCGGCUAACUACGUGCCAGCAGCCGCGGUAAUACGUAGGGUGCAAGCGUUAAUCGGAAUUACUGGGCGUAAAGCGUGCGCAGGCGGUUUUGUAAGCCAGACGUGAAAUCCCCGGGCUUAACCUGGGAACUGCGUUUGGAACUGCAAGGCUAGAGUGCGGCAGAGGAAGGUGGAAUUCCUGGUGUAGCAGUGAAAUGCGUAGAUAUCAGGAGGAACAUCGAUGGCGAAGGCAGCCUUCUGGGCUAGCACUGACGCUCAUGCACGAAAGCGUGGGGAGCAAACAGGAUUAGAUACCCUGGUAGUCCACGCCCUAAACUAUGACGACUAGUUGUCGGGGAUUUAACAUCCUUAGUAACGCAGCUUAACGCGUGAAGUCGUCCGCCUGGGGAGUACGGUCGCAAGAUUAAACUCAAAGGAAUUGACGGG
rnacentral:rRNA from 1 species